UACGUUCCUCGGUGACCUGCCUUCGAGGGUUCUCGAACAUUGGCCGCGCUGCCUUGAUCAGGCAGUUUCGUUUCCGAAAGUGCAAAGUUGGCCACGUUUGGUUCCCUCGGUUACUGGCAGCUGGCAACAUGGUUCAUUCCCAGAUGCCCUCGCAAGCCAUGACGUAGGAUAUAUAAGCCAGCCAUGCUCCAGUUCGGUUGGGCACGACACCGUUGAAGGGAUGGGACGCUUACCGCUGCUGUAUUUUCAGGUUGGUUACUUCAAAGAUACUUCCUGUUUAAAAAGUAGCAAUUACUGCCUUGUUGCGGUGUCGUGCCCUCCUGACUUGCGUGAUAAGAUGUUCCGUACAUUGCUGUUUCUUUCAUGUCUGCGCCGGAAGUUUGCAUCGUUGUUGUUGUUGCUUUCAGGUGACAUUGAAUCUAAUCCCGGCCCUGGCGUCGAGGAAACACUCGCAAUUGUUCUUGAUACAGUGCGUAGGCUGGAAGCGGGUCAGAAUACAAUAAUUGGUGAAAUUAAGGGGCUAAAAGAAAAACAGGAUGCUACUGAUAAAGAAAUCAAAAGCUUGACCAUGAGAGUGGUCACUCUGGAAGCAAAGCUGGUUUCUAAUGCCCCUCCGUCAUCCAACUUUGCUGAUGGUGCUAUUGGUUCUAUUUCUGAUCAGCUUCAAGCAGUAGUAUCAAGGUGUGAGGAAGCAGAAAAUAGAAUGCGACGGUGCAACUUGUUGUUUUUUGGAAUUCCCGAUGAGCACAAAGAGAGCUGGGAAACUUCUGAAAAGAAAAUUAUCGCCGUAUGCUCAGAUAAGUUAGCGAUCACCACUACCAGUUCUCAAUAUGAACGUGUGCACCGGCUGGGUAAAUUUGCUUCAAACAAAUGUAGGCCGAUAAUUGCUAAGCUUACGUUUUUUAAGGACAAACAAGCAAUCCUCGCCGGUGCACAUCGGCUGAAAAAUACUGGCUUCUCUAUUAGAGAAGAUUUUUCGCAAGCAACACGGCAAGCGCGCAGGAAACUGCUUCAGUUUGCUAGGGAACGGAAUUGUCCUUUCAAACUAAAUGUC